rnacentral:lncRNA from 1 species
CUUAAGAUGUACUCUGCAUUUAAUUUCUUGUCGAGUAUCUGUGACGCUCGUAGAUGUCUGGAUCAUCAACAUAGUCUGAAGGGAUAUCAGUCCAACCCUCUAGCCAAGCUGCACCGUACUUUCGAAUAUUCAUCAUCCCAUAAGGCAUCCUCUCUGGAUUGUAAGACAUCUCAGAUCUCUCGCUAAAAUUCUGAUUCUGAGAAGUAUCCUCAAGAUGAUGGUAUGGUUGUGGAGG